rnacentral:rRNA from 1 species
CAGCCGCCGCGGGAAUACGUAUGUCACGAGCGUUAUCCGGAUUUAUUGGGCGUAAAGCGCGUCUAGGUGGUUAUAUAAGUCUGAUGUGAAAAUGCAGGGCUCAACUCUGUAUUGCGUUGGAAACUGUAUAACUAGAGUACUGGAGAGGUAAGCGGAACUACAAGUGUAGAGGUGAAAUUCGUAGAUAUUUGUAGGAAUGCCGAUGGGGAAGCCAGCUUACUGGACAGAUACUGACGCUGAAGCGCGAAAGCGUGGGUAGCAAACAGGAUUAGAGACCCCUGUAGUCCCUGUCUCUUAUACC